rnacentral:rRNA from 1 species
AUUGAACGCUGGCGGAAUGCUUUACACAUGCAAGUCGAACGGUAGAGGGGGCAACCCCUUCGAGAGUGGCGAACGGGUGAGUAAUAUAUCGGAACGUGCCCAGUCGUGGGGAGUAACGUAGCGAAAGUUACGCUAAUACCGCAUACGAUCUAAGGAUGAAAGCGGGGGAGUCGCAAGACCUCGCGCGAUUGGAGCGGCCGAUAUCAGAUUAGGUAGUUGGUGGGGUAAAGGCUCACCAAGCCAACGAUCUGUAGCUGGUUUGAGAGAACGACCAGCCACACUGGGACUGAGACACGGCCCAGACUCCUACGGGA